rnacentral:rRNA from 1 species
GCACAGGCAUUGCCGCACACACUCACCGUCUCGCCACGUGAGAGGAGAAGCCCGCAGCGCCGGUGCUUGAGCGGAUCGGGAAAGGAUGGCCGGCGGCGCGGACGCGGACGGGGAGCGCCGGAUCGGGGUGGCCAUGGACUACUCGGCCAGCAGCAAGCGCGCGCUGGAGUGGGCCGUCCGCAACCUGCUCCGCCGGGGCGACACCGUCGUCGUCCUCCACGUCCAGCGCCACGGCGGGGAGGACGCCAAGCACGCCGUCUGGGCCAAGUCCGGAUCCCCGCUGAUCCCUCUGUCGGAGUACCGGGAGCCGGAGGUGAUGAAGAACUACGGCGUGACCUGCGACGCCGAGGUGCUCGACAUGCUCGACACCGCCGCGCGCCAGCUCGAGCUGAAGGUGGUGGCGAAGGUGUACUGGGGCGACGCCAGGGAGAAGCUCUGCGACGCGGUGGAGGAGCAGAGGAUCGACACCAUCGUCAUGGGCAGCCGCGGCCUCGGCACCAUCCAGAGGAUUCUUCUGGGAAGCGUGACCAACUACGUGCUGUCGAACGCGUCGUGCCCUGUGACAGUCGUCAAGGGAGACCGUUAGGUUUGCCAUCGGUGUGCAUCAGGAUGCGCUUCAUCGUUCUCUGCUCCGUUGCUGCGUCCGAAUAAAGUAUGGAGCCUGUUGUGUUUUCUGUAUGCCGGACCUUGGCAGAUUAUUGUAGUCGUGUAUGUUUCUGAACAUUCGGGUUCAAAUUCAGUAAAGUGUCGUUCUUUUUUUUUUUUUUGCAUGAAACUAGGGAGCUUAUUACUCAAGUAGCAUACGGUUACAAUCUGCCUGGAGGCAAAGUUCAAGAAAACCUGGACUUUCACGAAGCCAACUCUCUGUCCCAUCCAGCGUA